GACGGACGCUGGCGGCGCGCUUAACACAUGCAAGUCGAGCGGUAAGGCCCUUUCGGGGGUACACGAGCGGCGAACGGGUGAGUAACACGUGGGUGACCUGCCCUCAGCUCUGGGAUAAGCCUGGGAAACUGGGUCUAAUACCGGAUAUGACUCCAUGAUGCAUGUUGUGGGUGAAAGCUUUUGCGGCUGGAGAUGGGCCCGCGGCCUAUCAGCUUGUUGGUGGGGUGAGGCCUACCAAGGCGACGACGGGUAGCCGGCCUGAGAGGCGACCGGCCACACUGGGACUGAGACACGGCCCAGACUCCUACGGGAGGCAGCAGU
rnacentral:rRNA from 1 species